GUAUGGCUGUUGCUACACACCACGGUGAGCCCACAGAUAAGGGACAGCCAGUGUGAGCUACAAAAGUACCUGCUCAGAGCAUUGUUGAAGCAUAAAACACAGCAAGGCUGCUGCUUUACCUCUCUUCAGAUCUCCAGUGACCAUGUCUCUUGUGGUACAUCCUACUGUGAAAGAAAGUGAAAAGCGAAUUCUGAGAAAAGUAGUUCAGCCUGGUCAAGGUGACCUUUACAAAGCCACCACCAGCUCCAUUGUAGAUGACACCCAUAUUUAUAUCUGAGUAAACUUAAAAUUGUUUCAAAUGUUUGCAACACUUUUGCUGUUAAUAAUCCAUGGCCAGAAAUAGUUGUCAUAUCUACAUUUUGCUGGGCGUUGUUAGUGGGAAGAAGAGUUAUAACAUAUUAAGUCUGAGCAGCUCCUGAAUAGAUUAGAUGGGGGAACGUUAAUUUGGGUCUCAACUGUGAGGCUUAGAUAUAGCAUUUAUUAGCUAUUUAUCCACAGUUAUUUGGCAUGAAACAUGUACUCAUAGAAUACUUGUUUCCACACUGCUAAAAUUGGUGCUCAGGCUCUUUGGCUUGUAACUUCAUGAAUUGUGUCAACCCAUUCUUAUUUAUAAUUUUAUUCUCUUACCCGUCUUAUGGGUCUCUACUGACAUCACUGGAUUCAUUUGGUUUUGAAAAGCAAAGCAGAAGGACACUGUAAAAUGAAUGACACUUUGUAAAUGGGAAUGUGUUAUAAUUAUCAUAUUUUUUCAAAAUUAAUUUAAUAAUCAUUUGAAACCUAUUUGCACUCCCUUGAUAGAUAGAAAUUCCCUAUUUUAAUCUGGUGGGAUUACACUGAAAGGAUGCAGAAAGGUAGUCUUUUUUCUCACCUUUGUCAGGGGAACGGGGGCACGUGAAGUUACCACAGUAACCUUACUAUGCGGGCAGCAGGUAGAAAGAACAACUGAGCACUUUAAUGUUGGAAAGGGAAAUGGAGGCUGUGUGAGCUAACAAUUGCAUUAUGUUUCAGUGGAACUCUGUUUUUGCUUUUGUCAAUGCAUGUGAAGUUCCCAUCUGCAAGAUGCACUGAGAGGAUUGUUUGUUCAUGUAUCAAGAGAAUAGUGGGUAUCUAUUAGAAUUCAGCAUGGCCUGAAAUACCUCUCUUACUACUCAAGUCCCGGUACAGUCUGGGUGGACUGUAGGUAGCGUUUGAUUACCUGCCCUCUAUGCUAUGAAAAUUGGUAUUUAAAGAGAUACAGGUGUCUAUCUGCACAUCUGGUAGGAUGAGUAACUCAGGGAGGUAAAUAUAUUUACGGUAGAGUAUGGGAAGGGAAACUAUGCCUAAUGCUUAUUGGAAAAGAAAACUAGAACAGGUCGUUGAAGAAUAAUACAUUAUUCAGCAAGCUAGCAUUAAAGCUGUUGGAAAUAGAGAUGUGUCCUCUUUUCAAACAGUUUACAAUCUGUAUUGGAGAUGAAUUUUAUUUUCCAGGAAAAACAAAAAGGGAGAAAUCAAGAACUUGUGUUCCUGCCUUAGAUUCUGUGGGCUGGGUACAGACAAAUAAUGGUAAAUUUCUGAGGAGGACAAAGAAUAGCCAUCAAUUUAUGGUCAGAAAGUGGGGUUUGAUUUCUAGCUCUGCUGAGUAUUAGAAUAUAAUCGUGAAUUUCCUAACUUUAAAAUGGCAGUAAUAAGCUCUACAUCACAAAGAUUUUGUGAUUAUAUAAAAUAAUAUGUCGGGGAGGGGCACCUGGCUGGCUCGUUCGGAGGAGUGUGUGACUCUUUAUAUAAGGGUCAUGAAUUUGAGCCUCAUGUUGAGUGUAGAGAUUGCUUAAAUUAAUUAAUUAAUUAAUAAGUGAGUAAAUUAAAAAAAUAAUGUAUCUGAAAGUUAGUGUUCCUAGGCCACUUACCAGUUUACAAAAAUACUUUUGAAAUCUUAAGAUGUGAUUCCCAGGAGAAGUUGGUACACAAAAACCUCUGGAGGAAGAGUAGAGUUACAUACACAGACACACACACACACACACACACACACACACACACACACAUUUAAUUUUAUGUGCAAGUAUUUAAUGCAGUUUAAGUCUUGAAAUUACAUUUAUGGUAUGUGUGACGUUCUCAUGCUCAUCCAAUAGGAGAAGUGGCUUAACAGAGGGUAAAAAAACAUUUUAUUGAUUCAUUCAGAAUAACCCUGCGAAUUAGGCUUUGAGAAAUUAUUCUCCCCAUUUUACUGAUGAAACAAUUAUGAUUUAGAAACAUUAAGUGGAUUUUCAGAAUUUACACAGGGCCAGGGCUCUUACUUGCAAGCCUGAUCUCCCACACCUGUUGUACAGGUAUCAUAGAUCAUGUUGCAAAGGCUUCACAAAACAAAACAAAAACAAAACAAACAACAACAACAAAAAACUUAGGAUCUCAGUGCACCGACAGCAACAGAUAAAAGCAUGGAUGGAUGUUAGGAGAGGUCGGAAAGUGAGAAUUCAUAGAGCUUAUUCUUCUGCAAAGGUAUGAAAAAAGGCAUUGAUGCAUUUAAUUUGUGGCUUUGUUGUUCUAUUUUCAUUCAUUUUUACUUGGAUUGGAAAUUUGGAGAGACCUCUGAAAAUGUAUGCAAAGCCAGAAGCUAGGAGUCCAAAUAGGAAAGGAAUCCAAUCACCAUCUCCUCAACCUUUCAUAGAAAUUCAUGGUUCAGCAAAGUACCAUAAUAAAUAUAAAGAAUCAGGAAAUUUUCUAGUGCCUCAAUGACCACAGAGCCAUGAGCCAUAAGCAGCCUAGCUCUAUAGAGAAUAAAUCAUUCGAGGGAAACUUGAUUACUUUUUUGAUAGAAUUAGAAGAGUCAUUGUCAGAAGGAAUGAUGUUGAUGCAAUAUAUCUUUUUUUUAAGAAAUCAUGUCCAUCAGGGGAUUUUACAUGAAAAAUUAAUUUAGGUGUAUUGAAUAUAAGCCUUGUUAAGUAGGCAAAAACCACACUGAUGGGACCCAAAUUGUAUGUGAUUUAGGGGGAAAAAAAGUGAGAAAAGAAAGAAAGGGAAAGGGUGGGGGACAUAGAGAGUGACAGAGACCAGGAGAGAUUCAGGAAUAUAUUAAGGAAUGAGGGGAUUUUUCAGACAAAGCAUUGUAUCCUGGGGCUACAGUCUUUUUACAUCUUUCAUAAAAAAAUGUAAUUCCUAAAGAUUAUAGAAUUUAAAAAUAUACAUUGAGCAUUCAUGUCAGAAAGAUCUUAGGAGAACAUUAUGACUAGAUCUGUGACUUCAGUUGAGGAUUAUGACCAAACAGGUUAAGUGGGCAAGUACUGUUGAGACAGUCUUCAGAGCAGCUGGACAGUGGGGCUAAGAGUAGAUACUGAGUCAGGAAAACCAGAAUUCAGAUUAAGGUUUGAGCACUUCCUGAACUCUUUUCUCAUCAAGAAAUUGAGCCUAAUUCAUUUCCCUCUGAAUAUGGGCUCACCUUACUGACUUGCUUCUAAGAAACAGUAUGAGCCUAGGUUACAGAAUGUGAGACAUCGUGCACCCAAUUCUGUCAGGAAAUGUGCGUCUGGUGUGUGUUUCCCAUGUGGGAAAUAUGGCUACCCUGAAGCUCCCACACUAGACAGACAACAUGGAGAGAUCACAUAAGAAUAGAGAAAGAUGCUCUAGCUGUCCCAUCUGUUCCAGUCCUCAGUGUUUUGAGUCUGUCCAGCCCAGGAGUGUGACAUACUGUUCCUGUGUACUCUGUUGUAAGACUUAUCACAAUGUUCCAGCUUUGAUCUCUGAGGAAAAAUACAUGGAUAAGAGCCUGUAAUGGUGAUAUUAUGAUCAGAGAUUCAGAAAUAUCAAGUCAUACCCUGUUAAACCAUACUUCCCAGAGGGUUUUGGAAGGUACUGUAGACAGAAGAGAUAAUACAAAAGUAAAUAAAAAUUUACCUUAUUAAUAUCCUUAUAGGUGCCUAAUAAUCCCUAACUAGUUAUAGUUCAAAUCAAAUUAGGGCCUCUUUAAUCCUGGGAAUGCCAUGCUUAUUGCCUGUGGGAAGAGAAAACCUCUUAAUCCACUUAGACAACCGGUUCCUUGCCAUGAAAGAGAAACAUGUAAGAUGAGCAAUCUGCCCUGGGGCUUGACUAUGCCAAAGGCCGAAACAGAAAAGCAAUAAAAGGAAAGUGGGUUUCUUCAUUUAAGGGAAAAUAAACCUGCCUGAAAAUAAAGCAUAGCCCAGUGGAUAUUCUGGGCUCAUACUAAGAGAAAAAAGAAACACCUCUUUCCUUAGAGAGUUAAGGCAGGGGUGGGAAGAGCAGGGCCUCAUAUAGAAAGAGGAGGCAAAAUAUACGUACUCUUAAGACAGUGGAACCAGGUGAUUUUUUCUGAGAUAUGUGAAGAGACCUGUGCAGUUUCUGUUGGAUGAAAUCAACUCUGUCGCCUUGGUGACAACUUCGUUGACCAAGGGAUCAAUACUCCAAUGAAAUACAGGCUAUACAUAAAAGAGGAAAAAUACAUGUAGGGUGACUUAUAAAACUGUGCCCCAUGCUGGCUCUUCCAAUUAGGUGUAACAGAACAACGUAAUGAGCCCCCCUCUGCAGGUGGUGUAGACAUGAAGUAUAUAAGAAGAAAAGGAACCUUUAAGCCCAAACCCCAUUCCUUAGCAAUAUUAUUAUUCUCUGUUCCAUAAAAUUUAUGACAAUUUCUAGUCUUGGACCCAGAGUGAAUGCCAUGUAUCUAGGAGAUGUAUCUAGGGUAUCUCAUGUUUCUAUUUUAUUUGUAUCUUUAAAAGAAAACUUCAUUGGGG